UACGUAGGGGGCAAGCGGUUGUCCGGAAUCAUUGGGCGUAAAGCGCGUGUAGGCGGCCAGAAAAGUCCGCUGUGAAAACUCGAGGCUCAACUUCGAGCUGUCGGUGGAAACUUUCUGGCUAGAGUCCGGAAAGAGGAGAAUGGAAUUCCGUGGGUGUAGCGGUGAAAUGCGCAGAUAUCAGGAGGAACACCGAUGGCGAAGGCAGGUCUCUGGGCCACUACUGACGCUGAGAAGCGAAAGCAUGGGGAGCGAACAGG
rnacentral:rRNA from 1 species